rnacentral:rRNA from 1 species
CAAUAGCGUAUAUUAAAGUUGUUGCGGUUAAAAAGCUCGUAGUUGGAUUUCUGCCGAGGACGACCGGUCCGCCCUCUGGGUGUGUAUCUGGUUUGGCCUGGGCAUCUUCUUGGUGAACGUUGCUGCACUUGACUGUGUGGAGCGCUACCCAGGACUUUUACUUUGAGGAAAUUAGAGUGUUUCAAGCAGGCAUACGCCUUGAAUACAUUAGCAUGGAAUAAUAAGAUAGGACCUCGGUUCUAUUUUGUUGGUUUCUAGAGCUGAGGUAAUGAUUAAUAGGGAUAGUUGGGGGCAUUCGUAUUUAACUGUCAGAGGUGAAAUUCUUGGAUUUGUUAAAAACGGACUACUGCGAAAGCAUUUGCCAAGGAUGUUUUCAUUGA